rnacentral:rRNA from 1 species
ACCAUGCUGAAUAUACCGGUUCUCGUUAGAUCACCGAAGUCAAGCAUCAUUGGGCUCGGCCAGUACUUGGGUGGGUGACCACCUGGGAACACCGCGUGCCGUU